CCCUAUUGUCAAUUGGUUUUGGGGUGGAACCUCAACUUCCUUCAUGGUAUCAAAGCCCUUGGUGGCUCACGCCUUCUCGAUCUACAUGAGUUCUUUGUCUUCCGCCUUCUUAAUCUGAUCUUCUUCUUCAUCUUCUCCACUUCUCCUCUCUGCCACACCUAAUUUCUAAUCUUCUUCUUCGUUCUGCAAAACCUAAUUUCUUCAAUUGCAAAUAUGCAAAACCUAAUUUCGUUUCCUGUACCUCUUCCCAACCUCGUUUCUUCCUAAAGCUUUCAGCUAUGGCUUCUUCUCUCAAGGUUCUUUGGCUUUUCUUUCUUCACGAUAGUGCCAAGAAUUGUUCUCUACGCUUUGCCUACUACAUGGUCGCUCUAUUGCCUCAUCGACUGUUCUUUGCAACUCUUUCUUUCUUUCUGUUGUUCAACGAGAUGGUGACUCCUACUCAACUUCCACUUGUUCAAUCUCCGAUUGCAACUCUCAUUCCAACUGUUUCUACAUACAUCUGUGACAGUCAAGCUUGCUGAUACAGAUUAUUGGACUUGGCAUUUCCAAAUGAAUCUUCUUCUUGAAGGUCAUGGCCUCUUGGGUUUUGUGGAUGGUUCAAGGAAAUGUCCUGCACAUUUUGAUAAAGAUUUAGAUCUUGAAGGUGUUGAGAUUGAUGCUUAUCAAGUCUGGAAGAUGCACGAUCAUGCCUUGAUGCAGCUGCUUAUUGCAACUCUCUCUUCCACUGCAAUUCUGCUAUUUGGGUCCUAUGGAUGUUCUUCUGGUUGGGUAUGUCUAUUGUUCAUCCUCUAUCUCUUUGAUUUCAAUAAUUGGAGAAUACCUAUAGUCGAAGAUUCAAGCUUUCUAUUCACCUUUGCUUGCUAUAAAAUCAACUUCAUGAUCUUGAAUACAUCACCAUUGAUCAAAUAUUGAUGGUUCAUUUGUUAUCUGCUCUGUUAAUUUUCUUGUGCAUCCAAAAUCUCAGUACCCCUAUUCUUGACUCUUAAGAAAAUCUUCAAUCAAUUACUCCUUACAUGGUUCUGUCACAAUUCUCUUCUCUCACUCUUCUUAUCUCAGGGGACAAAGAAUUUCCCAUUUCAUUCUCUUCUAUCUCUUUCUUCUUAUCUCAAGGAACAAAGAAUUUCUCAUAUCUCGUUCUCUUCUAUCUGUUUCUCCAAUCUCAAAGGAACAAACUCCUUUAUACAGUCUCUAAGGGAACCAAAGAAUUUAUUAAUUCUUCCUCUUUUCUAUCUUCUUUCUACAAUCUUCAGGGAACAAAAGAAUUUCCCACUUCUUCUUGCUUUCUAUCUCAUUUCUCUAAAUUCUCAGGGAACAAGAAUUUCCCUGUUCUCUUCUUCUAUCUCUUUCUAGAAUUUUCCUCUCCUCUUCUUCUAUCUCGUUCUUCUUCUAUCUCUUUCUAGAAUUUCUCUCUUCUCUUCUUCUAUCUCUAUCUCGAUGUGGGGGUCUGAUUACAUCAUUGAUUUGGAAGGGUUGGUAAAUCUCAUGGGCACAUAGUUGGUAAUGGUCAAUCAGGUUGGGAAAUUAGUUGACUGGACGAGUUGAUGGUAUCUCUGGAUCAGUGGAAAGUAAAACGAUGGAAUCUUUGCUGGGUUAUAA